GGAGAGGUGGCCGAGUGGUUGAAGGCGCUCCCCUGCUAAGGGAGUAUACGGGAGACCGUAUCGAGGGUUCGAAUCCCUUCCUCUCCGCCA
rnacentral:tRNA from 1 species